rnacentral:antisense_RNA from 1 species
GAUAACCAAAGAUGGUUAGGGGAUUGAGUGUGGGGUUACUGACGACACGCACAGCGCCAUCACUACCCGCCCAGGGGUCAAAAAUACCGCCCCAAAACAUCGCUUUGGAAACGAGGAGAAACGCACCAAUUCCGAGGAAAAUCAAGUGAAUCCCCAAAAUCGUGGUCAUUUUAUCUUUAUCUUGCCA